rnacentral:rRNA from 2 species
CACGUAGGGGGCAAGCGUUGUCCGGAUUUAUUGGGCGUAAAGAGCUCGUAGGUGGUUCGAUAAGUCGGGUGUGAAACCUCCAGGCUCAACCUGGAGACGCCACCCGAUACUGUCGUGACUAGAGUCCAGUAGGGGAGCGUGGAAUUCCUGGUGUAGCGGUGAAAUGCGCAGAUAUCAGGAGGAACACCAGCGGCGAAGGCGGCGCUCUGGGCUGGCACUGACACUGAGGAGCGAAAGCGUGGGGAGCGAACAGG